CCAGCCAAUUUCCACAUAUGGCAUUAAGGUAGGGGGUCCUGCUGACAAGCACAGAUGAAGCGGGCCUGACACCAAGCUGUAACCUAGCAUUCAGAUCUGCAUUAUUAUGUAUAAUAAUGUAAAGUUAAAUUGAAAUGUACCUGUAUACUUCAUACAUGUUUUUAAAAGGUGACCCCUACUCCUAUCAUGGCUGAGAAGCUGUGAAGCUAUGAAGUGAGUCCAGAAAACAGGGCAAAAUAAAAAUUAGCCAGUUUUUCAUGAAACCAGCUUCACAAAGGGUUAGAAACGCCACAUGGCAGAAGGAUCACACACCAUGGGGGAAGAUGGCAAGCUGAGGAAAAGAAUGGGAAAAUGCAGGCUUGUGGAGCAUUUGGUGGCCUGUGGCAGAGCUGGCUGCAGUUAAUGACAUUUCUCUAGAUUUCAUUUAUGAAUUUUUUCUAUGUUUAUCAAGUCAAGCCAAAUGUUUUCAGUUCUACCCAAGUUUCAAGAGGUGAAAGAUUGCCUCAUACAGUGUGAGUAUUGUUUAGUAAUAAAAGACCUUUAUUAAUACAGAUUUGACAAUUGAAUGAAACCAAAAUGCCCUGAGCAUAUUCUUGCAUUGUCUGGAAUGUUUGAGGAAGACUGUAACCUGUCUGCCAAGGACCUCGGGCUCACAGGCUCAAAUUUAAGAUGUUGGUAGGUCUGAUCUCCAAGGGGAAUGAGGCGGCAUAUCUGGCAAGGCAGAGGAGUUGUUUCAUGUGUUCAUGCCUGUGACUAAUUAAAAUCUUGAAUCAUACACAGGUUCGUAUUACUAUUCAUAUUGCUGCUUCAUUCUGCUGUGUGUGUGUAUAUGAUGUCAUCAAUUUAUUGUGUCAGUCACAUAACACCAAUAAUAUGAAUAACUCAGAAAUAGCAAUAUAUAGUGGUAAAAUAAUGAGACGCUUCUUGGAGAGGUAAACAGAAGAACUUUUAGCUAUGACACUGCAUUUUGUGAAAGACGCCCCAUCUGUACGUUGAUUUCAGUUCAUUGUGUUUCAGUCACACUAUGAACACAAACAAAUUCCUGGUCCGAUGUUGUCGCUUACAGAAUGUUAGUGGCUGAUUGGAAUAGACAGGUGCAUGUAAUAUCCAAACAUCGCAGGCGUCAUUUCCCCAGUACAAAGGCAUGGAUUCCUGUCUGACCGCUGUAGUGUUAUUCUGCUCUCCCAUUAUGGCACUGACACCUGUCAGUGAAUAAGUAGUACUUCAUAAAAGUGCUGUACUCUUUUCUAAGGCGACUGUUGUCCCUCAGAAUGUGUGUAAUGAAGAAACUGCACAACACCCAAUGGUCUGCAUAGGGCUACAAAUACACACAUGUACACAUGCAUACAAGGGAUAAUGAUUUAUUAUUAUUAUUUUUGUGUUUUAUUCUUAUUUUAGCUAAUUUUUGAAAUUAUUUCUCUCUCGAUCAGUCUUCUACGUAUUACUCUAAGUAGGGAGUUGCAGCAAAAAGCUGCAUGCCUAACGGCCCUUUCUGGAUAUAAUUAGCCACCCCUGUGCUAAUACAAUACUUUGCAGUCUGAGAAUUCUCCCUAUUGCUCACUACAGACAGUUACCAUACUUUUGACCAGAGACCCACACAACGAUUACGUUUCAAACUACAUUUUCAGGUCACUUCACAUUAUAUGUGAUUGUAGAGCUAAAUUAUUCCUUAUUAGGUAUUAAAGAUGAAAUUUGCAGAUGACACAACCAUGUAUUGCUUUGCAGAUGUUGGUAGGUCUGAUUUCUUUCUUACACGGUGACUAUACCCUUCUUAGACUGCAUUUUCCACAAUCGCUGAUGUAUUUACCUGGAGCUCGAGAGCUGUAGUUCGAAUUAC